rnacentral:rRNA from 1 species
GACGAACGCUGGCGGCGUGCUUAACACAUGCAAGUCGAACGAAGUGGCGAACGGGUGAGUAACGCGUAAUCAACCUGCCCAUAAGAGGGGGACAACAGUUGGAAACGACUGCGAAUACUGCAUAAUGAAGGAGGGGAUUGCGUCGGAUUAGAUAGUUGGAGGGGUAACGGCCUACCAAGGCGAUGAUCAGUAGCCGGUCUGGUAGGAUGAACGGCCACAUUGGGACUGAGACACGGGCCAGACUCCUACGGGCGGCAGCAGUGGGGAAUCUUCCGCAAUGGACGAAAGUCUGACGGAGCAACGCCGCGUGAGUGAGGACGGCCUUCGGGUUGUAAAGCUCUGUUAAUCGGGACGCGGUACCGGAAUAGAAAGCCACGGCUAACUACGUGCCAGCAGCCGCGGUAAUAC